UACGUAGGGUGCAAGCGUUGUCCGGAAUUAUUGGGCGUAAAGAGCUCGUAGGCGGUUUGUCGCGUCUGCUGUGAAAACCCGAGGCUCAACCUCGGGUCUGCAGUGGGUACGGGCAGACUAGAGUGCGGUAGGGGAGAUUGGAAUUCCUGGUGUAGCAGUGAAAUGCGUAGAUAUCAGGAGGAACACCGAUGGCGAAGGCAGGUCUCUGGGCUGACACUGACGCUCAUGCACGAAAGCGUGGGGAGCAAACAGG
rnacentral:rRNA from 1 species